rnacentral:tRNA from 1 species
UAGCUCAGUGGUACAGCGCUUGCCUGGCAAGCACAAGGUCCUGAGUUUGAGUCUCAG